UACGGAGGAUGCAAGCGUUAUCCGGAAUGAUUGGGCGUAAAGCGUCCGCAGGCGGCUAUGUAAGUCUGCUGUUAAAGAGUGAGGCUCAACCUCAUAAGAGCAGUGGAAACUACAUGGCUAGAGUGCGUUCGGGGCAAAGGGAAUUCCUGGUGUAGCGGUGAAAUGCGUAGAGAUCAGGAAGAACACCGGUGGCGAAAGCGCUCUGCUAGGCCGCAACUGACACUCAUGGACGAAAGCUAGGGGAGCGAAUGGG
rnacentral:rRNA from 1 species